rnacentral:rRNA from 1 species
UACGUAGGGUGCAAGCGUUGUCCGGAUUUAUUGGGCGUAAAGAGCUCGUAGGCGGUUUGUCGCGUCGGAUGUGAAAACCCAGGGCUCAACCCUGGGCCUGCAUUCGAUACGGGCAGACUAGAGUAUGGCAGGGGAGACUGGAAUUCCUGGUGUAGCGGUGAAAUGCGCAGAUAUCAGGAGGAACACCGGUGGGCGGAAGG